GGGUUGUGAGGUUAAGCGACUAAGCGUACACGGUGGAUGCCCUGGCAGUCAGAGGCGAUGAAGGGCGUGCUAAUCUGCGAUAAGCGCCGGUAAGGUGAUAUGAACCGUUAUAACCGGCGAUACCCGAAUGGGGAAACCCAGUGUGAUUCGUCACACUAUCAUUAACUGAAUCCAUAGGUUAAUGAGGCGAACCGGGGGAACUGAAACAUCUAAGUACCCCGAGGAAAAGAAAUCAACCGAGAUUCCCCCAGUAGCGGCGAGCGAACGGGGAGGAGCCCAGAGCCUGAAUCAGCAUGUGUGUUAGUGGAAGCGUCUGGAAAGGCGCGCGAUACAGGGUGACAGCCCCGUACACAAAAGCGCAUGUGCUGUGAGCUCGAUGAGUAGGGCGGGACACGUGGUAUCCUGUCUGAAUAUGGGGGGACCAUCCUCCAAGGCUAAAUACUCCUGACUGACCGAUAGUGAACCAGUACCGUGAGGGAAAGGCGAAAAGAACCCCGGCUAGGGGAGUGAAAAAGAACCUGAAACCGUGUACGUACAAGCAGUGGGAGCACAGGUUUACCUGUGUGACUGCGU
rnacentral:rRNA from 1 species